rnacentral:rRNA from 1 species
AGCAGCCGCGGUAAUUCCAGCUCCAAUAGCGUAUAUUAAAGUUGUUGCAGUUAAAAAGCUCGUAGUUGAAUUUCGGGAUUAAUUUACUGGUCGUGCUUUUGUACGUACUGGUUUUAUUGAUUCCUACCUUCUGACGAACCAUGAUGUCAUUAAUUUGGUGUCUUGGGGAAUCAGGACUGUUACUUUGAAAAAAUUAGAGUGUUUAAAGCAGGCUCACGCUUGAAUACAUUAGCAUGGAAUAACGAAAUAGGACGUUUGAUUCUAUUUUGUUGGUUUCUAGGAUCGACGUAAUGAUUAAUAGGGAUAGUUGGGGGCAUUAGUAUUCAAUUGUCAGAGGUGAAAUUCUUGGAUUUAUUGAAGACUAACUACUGCGAAAGCAUUUGCCAAGGAUGUUUUCAUUAAUCAAGAACGAAAGUUAGGGGAUCGAAGACGAUCAGAUACCGUCGUAGUCUUAACCAUAAACUAUGCCGACUAGGGAUCGGAUGAUGUUAAUUUUUUAAUGACUCAUUCGGCGCCUUACG